rnacentral:rRNA from 1 species
GACGAACGCUGACGGUGUGCUUUAGACAUGCAAGUCGAACGAGAAAGCCCUUCGGGUGAGUACAGUGGCGAACGGGUGAGUAACACGUGGGCAAUCUGCCCCUCGCAGGGGGACAACCGUGGGAAACCGCGGCUAAUACCCCGUAAGCUCGAAAGGCCGCAUGGUUUUUCGAGGAAAGGUAGCUUCGGCCAUCCGGCGAGGGAUGAGCCCGCGGUGCAUUAGCUAGUUGGUGGGGUAACGGCCCACCAAGGCGACGAUGCAUAGCUGGUCUGAGAGGAUGAUCAGCCACACUGGGACUGAGACACGGCCCAGACUCCUACGGGAGGCAGCAGUCGGGAAUCUUGCGCAAUGGGCGAAAGCCUGACGCAGCAACACCGUGUGUGUGACGAAGGCCUCGGU